rnacentral:lncRNA from 1 species
AUGUUGUAUUUACGUAGACGCUGCACAGUUAGGAAUGGGGUUAUAUAUAAUGGAUAAAAAUUUAUUUUUGUAAGAUAUUACUAAAGUAGAUUAAUCAUUUCUAGGAUAGUCAAUUUCAUAGAUCAAAUGAUUGAAUUAGUUGUACAAAAUGGUGUCGUGAUGUAACAUGAUUAAUAGGUGAAAGAAUGUGGAGAUUAUUAUAAUUUAAGAGAUCUUAGUUC